AACCAGCACCUCAAGUGGUCAGGAGGAUUAUUGGGCCUAAAGCAUCCGUAGCCUGUUCUAUAAGUUUGCGGUUAAAUCUAUACGCUCAACGUAUAGGCUGCCGUAAAUACUGUAGAACUAGGGAGUGGGAGAGGUAGACGGUACUCGAUAGGAAGGGGUAAAAUCCUUUGAUCUAUUGAUGACCACCUGUGGCGAAGGCGGUCUACCAGAACACGUUCGACGGUGAGGAACGAAACCCUGGGGCGCAAACGGG
rnacentral:rRNA from 1 species